UUGUACCGCCUGGGGAGUAGUAGUCGCACAAGUGAAACUCAAAGGAUGAAUUGAGGGGCCCCCGCACAAGGUGGAGAGCAUGGUUUAAUAAUGAUGCAACAACGAAGAAACCUUACCUGGUCUUGACAUCAUACAGAACUUUCCAGAGAUGGAUUGGGGCCUUUUGGAACCGUGAGACACAGGUGGCAUGGCUGUGGUCUCAUCUUGUCUUGAGAGAUUGGGUUAAGUCUCGCACAGAGAGCACCCCUUUUCUUUUGUUUCCACCACGUUUUGGUUGGAACUUUAAGGAGACCGCCCGGGGCCAACCGGAAGAAAGUGGGGAUGGAGUCAAGUUCUCCUGGCCCUUUCGGCCAAGGCUUCCCCCGUUGUUCCAUGGUAGGGACAGAGGGGUGCAAACCCACGAGGGCAAUCCAAUUCCAGAAAACCUAUUUCAAUCCGGAUUGGAAUUUGCAACUUGACUCCCAGAAAUUGGAAUCGCUAGGAAUUGCAGGUCAGCAAUGCUGCGGUGAAUACGUUCCCGGGCCUUGUACACACCGCCCGUCACACCAUGGGAGUUUGUUGCACCAGAAGCAGGUAGUCUAACCUUAGGGAGGGCGCUGC
rnacentral:rRNA from 1 species